rnacentral:lncRNA from 1 species
UCAGUAUCCAUACAUAAGAGUUUCACUGAAAAAGGGAUGAAAAGACUGCAAGUUAUAGCUAAAAAAGAUUACAAGCAUCUAUUUACAACUCAAGAGGGCAAUUAUAAACACCAAAAGCUGAAUAGCCUAUAUAGAAUCAUCCAUCAGAAAAGGACUCCAGGUAAAGGGGGAGGGUCAAGUGAGUUUGACUUAACCAAUACACCUGAGAAGCAGAAGACAUUCCAAAGAUUGAUGGGUCUGACCAUCCCUUAUAUCCUUCCCAGCUAGGUCUGCCAACAAGUUUGAAAUAAGGGGAUUUUACAGAGAAGAGAAGUUAAAGAAAGAAUAAGAUAUUACUUACUUGGACAUGCAAUCCGUCUCAAGGACCUACAACCCUCAUUUCAACACCAAAAAAGAAGAGCCAUCCCAUCCACAAGAGAACUCAGCUGAGAAAGAGUAUAAACAGAAGAAUGCAGGUUAAAGACAAAAAGAGGGAUCUGAACAGAUGGAGUCAAGUCUACAAUAGGGUAAAGUACUUACUUUUGAGAGCUUUUGAUAGCAGGAAUUUACAAUGUCUCAGGCACAGUGUUGAUAAUCCAGAGAACCAGCAUCACAAAUUGAAGAUUAAAAGCCGUUAACUCCAUGGAACUUCACCUGAAAAAGAGCUGUAAC